UGGAAUAUAGUUCAGUGGUAGAUCACUUGCCUAGCAUGCAUGAGACCCUAGAUUUAAAUCCCAGCACCCCAA
rnacentral:tRNA from 1 species